AAACUCUAGUUAUCUGUCUGCCACUUAGGAGAUCAGCAAUUAAAGGCCUUUGCAUCAGGAUUUUCUGCUACCUGCAGCUGAAGAAUCUGAAGUGAUAAAGCUUGAUGUUGAAGAAGGGGCCAGAACAUGAAGGUCAGAGGGAACCAGAUCCACAGACCUCAAAAAUGACGAAGGAUAGAAAAUGGGAAAUUGAUUCUCUUAUCAAAACCACUGUAGGCCAACGUGGCCUAAGUGAUUUUCCACAAAGUGAGGGACUGGAGCAGUCUUUGGAUCUGGUGAAUGGUUAGUACAUUUUCAAGACACCAGAUUAUGCUCUUCAGACCACUUCAGCUACUGUCAAGAACUCAACAGCUGCAGCAACUCUGCCCCAGGAGGGGGAUUUAGAAUGUGUAUCAUUUUAGCCAUAAACUU